rnacentral:rRNA from 1 species
GACGAACGCUGGCGGCGUGGAUUAGGCAUGCAAGUCGAACGGUAUCAUCCUUUCGGGGGUGAGAGAGUGGCGAACUGGUGAGUAACACGUAGGUUAUCUACCCUCAAGACGGGGACAACCCAGGGAAACUUGGGCUAAUACCGGAUGUGAGCAACUUUUAGUUGUUUGAAAGGUGGCGUAAGCUGUCGCUUGGGGAUGAGCCUGCGUCCUAUUAGUUAGUUGGUGAGGUAACGGCUCACCUAGGCAAUGAUAGGUAGGCGGCCUUAACGGGUGGUCGCCCACACUGGGAUUGAGAUACGGCCCAGACUCCUACGGGAGGCAGCAGUCGAGAAUAGUCUACAAUGGUCGGAAGACUGAUAGUGCGACGCCGCGUGAACGAUGAAUCCCUUCGGGGUGUAAAGUUCUUUUAUAUGUGAGCAGUGCUUCUUAUAUUAACAGUAUGGGGAGAGAGAUAUUAGCAUAUGAAUAAGCAAACGGCUAAACUCCGUGCCAGCAGCCGCGGUAAU